rnacentral:tRNA from 1 species
GAUAAGGUAAGCUAAAUUAAGCUAGUGGGCUCAUAACCCAAAAAUGACAAUCUCCCUUAUUG